AUUGCUUGCAAUCCGCUGACGACCGGCGCACGGGUGCGUAACGCGUAUGCAACCUACCUUCUACAGGGGGAUAGUCAAUAGAAAUGUUGAAUAAUACCCCAUACGAUCUUUGAAUAGCACUAUUUAAAGAAGAAAGCUCCGGCGGUAGAAGAUGGGCAUGCGUCCUAUUAGUUAGUUGGUAAGGUAACGGCUUACCAAGACUUCGAUAGGUAGGGGUCCUGAGAGGGAGACCCCCCACACUGGUACUGAGACACGGACCAGACUCCUACGGGAGGCAGCAGUGAGGAAUAUUGGACAAUGGAGGCAACUCUGAUCCAGCCAUGCCGCGUGCAGGAAGACUGCCCUAUGGGUUGUAAACUGCUUUUAUACAGGAAGAAAUAUACCUACGUGUAGGUAUUUGACGGUACUGUACGAAUAAGGAUCGGCUAACUCCGUGCCAGCAGCCGCGGUAAUACGGAGGAUCCAAGCGUUAUCCGGAAUCAUUGGGUUUAAAGGGUCCGUAGGCGGUCUUUUAAGUCAGAGGUGAAAUCCUACAGCUCAACUGUA
rnacentral:rRNA from 1 species